rnacentral:rRNA from 1 species
UCAAGCGACUAAGUGUAUGCGGCGGAUGCCUUGGCGAUCAUAGGCGAAGAAGGACGUGUAAGCCUGCGAAAAGCUGCGGGGAGUUGGCAAAAGAACUUUGAUCCGCAGAUAUCCGAAUGGGGAAACCCUCCAAUUUAUUGGAAUUCAUAACUGAAUACAUAGGUUAUGAAGGCGAACGCAGUGAACUGAAACAUCUAAGUAACUGCAGGAAAAGAAAUCAACCGAGAUUGCGGAAGUAGCGGCGAGCGAAACCGCACCAGCCUAGUCAUUGAUAAUUCUGAUCAACAGCAGAACGACCUGGGAAGGUCGGCUACAGAGGGUGACAGCCCCGUAUGCGAAGUUGAUGGAAUGGUACUGAGGUGACGAUAAGUAGGGCGGGACACGUGACAUCCUGUCUGAAGAUGGGGGGACCAUCCUCCAAGGCUAAAUACUCAUGAUCGACCGAUAGCGAACCAGUACUGUGAAGGAAAGGCGAAAAGAACCCCGGGAGGGGAGUGAAAUAGAACCUGAAACUGCAUACAUACAAACAGUAGGAGCCCGCAAGGGUGACUGCGUACCUUUUGCAUAAUGGGUCAGCGACUUACGUUUUGCGGCGAGCUUAACCGAGUAGGGGAGGCGCAGCGAAAGCGAGUUCGAACAGAGCGACAGAGUCGUAAGGCGUAGACCCGAAACCAGAUGAGCUAUCCAUGGUCAGGUUGAAGGUGUGGUAACACACACUGGAGGACCGAACCGACCGGUGUUGCAAAACCGGCGGAUGAACUGUGGAUAGGGGUGAAAGGCUUAACAAAUCUGGAGAUAGCUGGUUCUCCCCGAAAACUAUUGAGGUAGUGCCUCGUGAAUGACUGCCGGGGGUAGAGCACUGUUAUGGCUAGGGGGACAUGGCGUCUUACCAAACCAUGGCAAACUCCGAAUACUGGCAAGUUGAAUCACGGGAGACAGAGCACCGGGUGCUAACGUCCGGACUCAAAAGGGAAACAACCCAGACCGCCGUUUAAGGUCCCUAAUAACAGCUAAGUGGAAAACGAAGUGUGAAGGCUAAGACAGUCAGGAAGUUGGCUUAGAAGCAGCCAUCCUUCAAAGAAAGCGUAAUAGCUCACUGAUCGAGUCCUCAUGCGCGGAAGAUGUAACGGGGCUAAGCUGUUAACCGAAAGCGCGGAUUUCCAAGCAAUUGGAAGUGGUAGGGGAGCGUUCUGUAAGCCGACGAAGGUGAUUCGUAAGGAUUGCUGGAGGUAUCAGAAGUGCGAAUGCUGACAUGAGUAACGAUAAAGCGGGUGAAAAGCCCGCUCGCCGUAAGCCCAAGGUUUCCUGCUCUACGUUCAUCGGAGCAGGGUGAGUCGGCCCCUAAGGCCAGGCUGAGAAGCGUAGUCGAUGGGAAGCUGAUUAAUAUUUCAGCACCACUGUUGAGUGCGAAGGGGGGACGGAGUUUUGCAAGUAAUCCGGGUGUUGGAUGUCCCGGUUGGCGAGCGUAGGAGGUGAGCAGGCAAAUCCGCUCACGCAUCUCCGAGACGAAGCCUCGAGGUCCUUUAGGACUGAAGUUACCGAAUGAACUUCCAGGAAAAGCCUCUAAGCUCCAGCUCAACGGUGACCGUACCGUAAACCGACACAGGUGGGCGAGUUGAAUAUACUCAGGCGCUUGAGAGAACUCGGGAGAAGGAACUCGGCAAAUUGACACCGUAACUUCGGGAUAAGGUGUGCCUUGGUAGCGUGAAAGGAGAAACUCCCCAAGCGCGAAGAGGUCACAGAAAAUAGGGGGCUGCGACUGUUUACUAAAAACACAGCACUCUGCAAAGACGAAAGUCGACGUAUAGGGUGUGAUGCCUGCCCGGUGCCGGAAGAUUAAGUGAUGGGGUGAGAGCUCCUGAUCGAAGUCCCGGUAAACGGCGGCCGUAACUAUAACGGUCCUAAGGUAGCGAAAUUCCUUGUC